GGACCCGAGUUAUGUAAGAGCACUGAGGGGGUGGCUUGGGGACGCCGACAGGGGCAGGCUGACACCCUUCCCCGGGCCAUCGAGGAAGGCGCCGGGUGCUGUCUGCUGGGAGCCUGGUGGCUGCGCUGUGGAGCCAGGAAUCACUCUAGGCUGUGGAACUCCAGCUCCAUCUACACUAAUGAGCUGAUGGGCUUGGCACCUAAGACCACGAGGCUGGCUCCAUUGGCAGCUUAUUCUUCACAGCUCGUCUCAUCUUCCUUCAUUGCUCCCUGACACCUGUUGACUCACUGAUUUUGCGGCAGCCCCGUCUCAGCCUCUGCUGUUGAUGGGACGUCACAGCGAUGAUAGCACUUGCCUCUCAGCGCUAUCCAGAGGAUGCGCCCACAUGUCACCUGCAGAGUCCUUUGCUCCUGACACAGAAGAUACUCAAAGAGUCGUGGUGGUGGUGGUGGUGGUGUGUCUUCAUUAUGGUCUCAUGGCGAUUUUGGAAAAAUCACUAAUGGUGAAGGUUAUAAACAUGCCUUCGGAGCACUGGCUGUAUUUCCCUGUACCGGCUGGCAGCUGCCUGAACCUGCCUGGUUGUCUUUUAGGCUUGGAGCUGUUUGUAAGUGAG
ensembl:lncRNA